rnacentral:lncRNA from 1 species
UGAUUUUAAAAGAGGCUUCUUGCCCUUAGAAUUAGAGAAUAGGUAGUAAUGGUUAGAGUUUGUUUAUGCUGGUAUGUUUAGUGCAAUGGCCAUCUUAUAUUAAUCUUAAGUUGCCGGAGAAGAUCUCCCAGGUUUAUCCUGAGGGAAAGUUAAAAGAAGUGCUUCGACAACCUAAGUCAAGGUGACAGUUUUUCAGGGGGCAUAUUUUUCUAGCUGCUGCUACUAUGCGCAGUUAGGUCUUCCUUUCAAAGUGGACGUAGUGCAAUGGGGUGGUGGUCUUCAUUCUGUUCUCGGACAUCUCUCACAUCUCUGGGAUUUUGCUUUGUUAGUAUGAAACCCGAGCUUCAAUUCAACCCAUCUACAGAAACUGUGGUUGAAGAUUAUAUAUUUUUCUAGCAUAUAUUCCUUUUAACAAGUUUACAUACAGAAGAUGGAAGCUAAGAGAUGAAGGCGCCAAGUUACUCAGCAAAGAAAUAUGAAACUAUUAUGCAACUGCAAAUUUGGAAGUUGUCUACCAGAAACUGACCUAUCACAUUUUGACCAUGAUUAGUCAUGUAGAUAUGAAGUCAGAAUGGGAGAACUCAACAAAUAAUGAUGGGUGUAUGCUGCAGGGACUGGAUGCUAAAAAUUAUACACCUCAAAGCGUAGUCGAGAUAUUUGAAAAGAUGAUGUUCAUGCAACUUCUCUGGUUUUCAGAUCCCUGAGCCUUUAUUUUUGUUUUUUUUCCCUUUCCACUGUUCGGUAAGUAUGUGUAAAACCUCAAAUAAAGAAGUUUGAAUGCAUGCUCGCGGAGCUGCUUGCGAAGCAUUUUGUGGGUACCUCUAGUCCUGUAUGGCUUGUGUAAUUUUGAUGGAUGUGUAAGCAUUUAAAUGAAAUGAUAUUAGCCGAGUCUUUCCUCAUUAUCACUCUCUUUCAGAGCUCUCUCUUUCUGGCCCCUUUACUCUUGUGGGUACCUCUAGUCCUGUAUGGCUUGUGUAAUUCUGGCCUCUUUCUUUCAGAUGUAAUUGCCACGGUUCUGGUUCCAUAUGCUUGGAACUGAGUAACGCUGUAUUCUAUGUCUAUGUAACCCUAUAAUCAAACGAGCAGACAAUGAAAAUGAAACCUUUUAGCUGAGUUGGC